rnacentral:rRNA from 1 species
UAACACUAACUGGAGGACCGAACCGACUAAUGUUGAAAAAUUAGCGGAUGACCUGUGGCUGGGGGUGAAAGGCCAAUCAAACCGGGAGAUAGCUGGUUCUCCCCGAAAGCUAUUUAGGUAGCGCCUCGUGAAUUCAUCUCCGGGGGUAGAGCACUGUUUCGGCUAGGGGGCCAUCCCGGCUUACCAACCCGAUGCAAACUGCGAAUACCGGAGAAUGUUAUCACGGGAGACACACGGCGGGUGCUAACGUCCGUCGUGAAGAGGGAAACAACCCAGACCGCCAGCUAAGGUCCCAAAGUCAUGGUUAAGUGGGAAACGAUGUGGGAAGGCCCAGACAGCCAGGAUGUUGGCUUAGAAGCAGCCAUCAUUUAAAGAAAGCGUAAUAGCUCACUGGUCGAGUCGGCCUGCGCGGAAGAUGUAACGGGGCUAAACCAUGCACCGAAGCUGCGGCAGCGACACUGUGUGUUGUUGGGUAGGGGAGCGUUCUGUAAGCCUGUGAAGGUGUGUCGUGAGGCAUGCUGGAGGUAUCAGAAGUGCGAAUGCUGACAUAAGUAACGAUAAAGCGGGUGAAAAGCCCGCUCGCCGGAAGACCAAGGGUUCCUGUCCAACGUUAAUCGGGGCAGGGUGAGUCGACCCCUAAGGCGAGGCCGAAAGGCGUAGUCGAUGGGAAACGGGUUAAUAUUCCCGUACUUGGUGUUACUGCGAAGGGGGGACGGAGAAGGCUAUGUUGGCCGGGCGACGGUU